CUGGUAUUGGACUGGUUAUGCUCCCUGCAUAGUCUUGUAUGAUGAAGUGUGGUGCUGAUCCAGGAUACUGGCGGUACCACAACAGACCAUUGGUUCAAAAUACUCCUACUUUUGACAUUGUGUAAUACACUGAAGACACCACUUGAUGGCACCAAAGGCAAGGGGAAAUGACAGAUCAUGAUUUCACUUUCAGUUUGGCAGAGAGACGAGAGUCCAGAGGCUCAGCUCCUUUCCCAGUGGAGUGAAGGAUGAGCAGGAGGAACUGGGGAGCAGAUCCUGGAUACUGCUUAUACCAUAAAAGACUGUAGGCUGAGGAGUAGUUGCAAGACACAGUAACAUGGUGACCUUCUUCUCCAAAGACCUCAUGUUGGUUUGGCUGGAUUGUCUGUCCGUUACUGAAGCCUGUAUAUAUGAUAUUUGAGAACAAUUAGUUGUUUUUAUCUCAUUACUGUUAAUUACCCAAUAAUGAAUCUUUCCAGCAGAUUAAAUAAUAUAAUGUUGUUUUUG